UUAAGCAUUCAGAAAGUAAUCAUCGAAUUUUUUUAGCGAGUCUGUGGUUGGUGGAAACAGAUAGAAGAAGAUGAUGAAAUUGGGCUGGAUGUUAUUAAGAAUUUGAAAUCAUAAGAAUUCGGUGAGCACACCUUAUAGUGCAACUCGUGAAGCGAGUAAGAGCGAUAGGAAUAAUUCCUAUAAUUGAGGUGGCACCGCGCAUCGACGUCCUCACA
rnacentral:ncRNA from 1 species